rnacentral:lncRNA from 1 species
CAGUGCAGUUAAGUGACUUGCCUUAGUGCACACCCCCAGAAAGUGACAGCACCAGCAUUUGAACCCUGACACAAGCAUCUCCAAAACUGCAUUCUUCCCACUGUGCCACAGUUAAGAUGAGUCCACCAGCCCUGUUUAGGUGAGUUCUGGCCCUCCCUGUGUGUCCCCACAUGCAGCCAACUGCAUCCAACCUGUCCAUGCCAGGUCCUGUCCUGAGAACAGUGGGCAGUGCUGGGCUUGGGGCGUGUGCAGGGGGGCGAGGGGAGCCCAGUGGAGGCUCAGACUGAUUUCACCUGGCAUUUCCUCAAGACUUUGGUGUUUGAACUGCGUUUUGAAGGCAAAGAAGUCAGAUAGACAAAUGAAAGAGAGGGAAAAGGCACUCCAGGUAGCAGGAACAGCAUGUGCAGAAUCAAAGAGGCAUGAAGAAAACUUAAAAUGUAGUCUUCCAAGUCAUGUACCCUAGAACUUAAAGUAUAAUAAAAAAAUAAACAUAGAAAAAUAAA